ACCCUAUCUCUGCUUUCUUCUUAUGGCAAUUGAGAAUUGGGAAUCAAAUUCAAUAGUACCCAAAUCCACAAUCAAGAUACCAAAAAUGCUUCAGUGUCUCUCACUCAAAUCAUCAUCAUCAUCAUCAUCAUCAUCAUCAUCAAAAACUUCCUCUGCUGCACCACCGGCACCACCGCCGCCGCAGAACUCUCAAGAUAAGCUUAAUCUGCAUCAAGUUUUCUCAACGCACACCACCUGUUUGUCUAAAUGCGCUAACCGGUUUUUUCGUUUUUGGUGUACAGGGAAUUCCACGGAGGCCGUCUCACCUCAACCCUCACCCACUAACAUCAACUUCAGUCGCGAAUACACCCGCACUGUCCAAACCAAUUCCUUCAGCUUAAUGCGUUCCAAAAUUCAUCAUUUGCAAUCACAAUUACACGAACAAAACGGUGAGAUUCACCACCACAGCCACAGCCACAGCCACAACCAUGACCAUUACCAGUUACUAUUAGCAGAGUUACUUGACCCCAACAAAGAAUGCGUAGAAGAGGCACUUAGUCAUGCCAAGGCUAGCCCCUUCACCACUCUUGUCAAAGACUACUUUGAUCAUAGCGAAAACACCACCACUCUCUGCCUUCUCUUACACUUUAGUGUCAUUCGCGCACGUGACCUUUAUACUCCUCUUCAAACCCUCCUUGAAGAUCUUAAUCUAGAGUCUUCCCUCUCCCACUCCCAAUGCAAUCACAUCUUCAACUUAUUAGUUGAAUUUGAUCGCCUGGACAACCCUUUUCCAUCCCCUGACUCUCACAACUUCAACCAAAUGCGCCAAUGCUAUUCCGAGCUCAAACCACAGCUUGCUCGCCGCCUCCGCAAAUCCUGCUCUAGAAUUCACCUCAUCCGCCAUGCCACAACUGGGUCUGCCUUCUGUUUCAUCUGCACUGCUGAUGGAGUUGAUCACAAAGAAGUUGCUGGUGUAGCGCAGCUUGAGGCUGCUACUAGGGGCACUUUUAAAUUGGACGAGGAGCUUGUCACCAUUAAGUGCCUCGUUGAUAGUAUCAUAGGUGCAAUUGACAAUCACAAGUCCCUCAUUCGCAUUGCAUUGGAGAGGGGCAACGAAAAGCAUCCCAUACAAGAGGUGAUGAAACGCCUCCAAAUAGACCAAGUCAGUUUCCAGCGCAAGCUUGAAGAGCUUGAGGAACAUAUAAACCGAUGCUUUAUCACCAUCAAUAGGGCCCGAGCUCUGCUCCUCCAGGAGAUCUAUCGUCAUCAAUCUUCAAUGUUGAGAGAUUGCAGGCAUAGACAAGGAGCUGACUUAGCUACUAACUCUCAUGAAAUAUUUGUAUACAGUCCAGGCUGAAGCUUCAACUGUGGCUUUAAGGUUACUCUCUUGAACAGAAAAGUCUAUUAUUCCAUCUAUAUUUUAUUUUCUCGUUUGAACCUUUUCAUUGAUUGACUAAUUAAUGGAAUAAAAUUAUUAGAAACAAAUUAGUUUUUUCCCCCUCAAGCAGGGUAAGGCUAGAAUCCUUUAACACUUCGACUUCAUAGUCAACAUUGAUGAUCUUCGUAGAGGUUAUGCUUUGUGUAUUCCAAGAUUUCAAUUAUUUUGUGUAUACUUUGGUGGAGUUUUUGCACAUUCCAUGAUAAAGUUCAUUGUGAAUUCUGUAGUUGCAUUGCUAUAUGGAACUGUAUUUUAGUACUUCCUAUCUUCUUCUUUUUUGAAGUGGGUAUACUUACAGUCUAUCCAUGCAUGUGUAGCCAAGAAAUCUCCACCAUGCUUAUCACGCUAAUGAAUAAUUUUGCAGUGACACAAUCACAAAGUCUGAAAUGUGACAUCUUCUCAACUACUAGUUGUAUAACUUAUAAACUUAUCUAAGAAAACAAAUGUCCUUGCCCCCUUCCCCCUCCCACCCCCCUCUCUCUUUAUGAAGGUACAAAACUGUAGAGGAUUCUAGUGAUAUUUUCAACUUCAUUGAUCUGAGAAUGGCUUCAUACCAUUAUCUGAUCUGUGUGUCCUUAUAUUGGGAGACAAUCAACUAUGAGCCUAUCUGAUUACAGAACACAAUCAGAUACUUGAUAGAAGAUAUCAGGCCAACAACACUCACGAAGGAAGAUGCCCAAUUGUGACUUCAAACAAAUUCAGAUACUUCAAAUAUCGAAGUGAGUUGUGGCUAUGACACAAAGAAUGGAGGAUAUUAAGAUAUCAGGCCAACAAGAAUCUUGGAGGAAGAUACCAAUUUGCCCUAUUUGUGACCUUGGAAGAUGGCUAUUAUGAGCUAUGAGAUGAAAGAGAUCUGUUUUGCAUCAAAGAUGUUAACUCCGAAUUUAAUGAAUUAUUGAUCUUUCAUAAGAGAUAUCCAAGUUUUUGUAAGGUUAUAAAGAACAGCUUCAUUAUUUUAAAAUGAUAACAAUGCGUUUGAGACUGUUGUUAACCAAUAUUUGUAAAUUUAGAAGUGAAAGCUGGGGGCUGUUCACUGACUCACUAGUCAGAUUUUAGUUUUAUUUUAAUUGUGAUUUCUGUUUGGUUAUU